GGACCCGCACAAGUAGUGGAGCAUGUGGUUUAAUUCGAAGAUACGCGCAGAACCUUACCAACACUUGACAUGUUCGUCGCGACUUUGAGAGAUCAAAGUUUUCGGUUCGGCCGGACGAAACACAGGUGCUGCAUGGCUGUCGUCAGCUCGUGUCGUGAGAUGUUGGGUUAAGUCCCGCAACGAGCGCAACCCUCACUUUUAGUUGCCAUCAUUAAGUUGGGCACUCUGAAAGAACUGCCAGUGAUAAGCUGGAGGAAGGUGGGGAUGACGUCAAGUCCUCAUGGCCCUUACGUGUUGGGCUACACACGUGCUACAAUGGUAUCUACAACAGGAAGCAAGACUGCAAGGUUAAGCAAAUCCUAAAAAGAUACCUCAGUUCGGAUUGCACUCUGCAACUCGAGUGCAUGAAGCUGGAAUUACUAGUAA
rnacentral:rRNA from 1 species